GACGGAGGGUGCUAGCGUUGUUCGGAAUCACUGGGCGUAAAGGGCGCGUAGGCGGCCUGGAAAGUCAGAUGUGAAAGCCCGGGGCUCAACCCCGGAAUUGCAUUUGAGACUCCCUGGCUGGAGGUCGAAAGAGGAGAGUGGAAUACCCAGUGUAGAGGUGAAAUUCGUAGAUAUUGGGUGGAACACCAGUGGCGAAAGCGGCUCUCUGGUUCGAAUCUGACCAUGAGGCGCGAAAGCGUGGGGAGCAAACAGG
rnacentral:rRNA from 1 species